rnacentral:tRNA from 1 species
GGGUGAUUAGCUCAGCUGGGAGAGCACCUCCCUUACAAGGAGGGGGUCGGCGGUUCGAUCCCGUCAUCACCCAGCA